rnacentral:rRNA from 1 species
UGGGGAAUAUUGCGCAAUGGGCGGAAGCCUGACGCAGCGACGCCGCGUGAGGGAUGAAGGCCUUCGGGUUGUAAACCUCUUUCAGCAGGGACGAAGCGCAAGUGACGGUACCUGCAGAAGAAGCACCGGCCAACUACGUGCCAGCAGCCGCGGUAAUACGUAGGGUGCAAGCGUUGUCCGGAAUUAUUGGGCGUAAAGAGCUCGUAGGCGGUCUGUCGCGUCGGCUGUGAAAUCUCGGGGCUCAACCCCGAGCCUGCAGUCGAUACGGGCAGACUAGAGUGCUGUAGGGGAGACUGGAAUUCCUGGUGUAGCGGUGAAAUGCGCAGAUAUCAGGAGGAACACCGGUGGCGAAGGCGGGUCUCUGGGCAGUAACUGACGCUGAGGAGCGAAAGCGUGGGGAGCGAACAGGAUUAGAUACCCUGGUA